ACCUGAAGUUAUCAAUGCUUGCUGUAGUUAUGUGUAUGCUGAAUAAUCUUUGUCCUACAGAGCAGCCGAGUUCUCUUCAGUAGCUGAGUGUUGUUUUCCUGCAGUCAAGUCGGUGUAUAUCUCCCACUCCUACAGAUGGAUGAAACAAUCUGGUUUGCAAGGUUAGUGACCGAUGCACCCUUGACCUUGCUCAGGUACAUUAUAGGCAUUUGACACUAUGAAUUAACCAGAGACAAAUAACUCCUACACCAUUAUCCUCUUUUAACGGUCCCCUCACUGUUGUUGUGUCUGGCCAUUCAAAUCCAUUUGUUUAAUGCCAACAGAAACUUGACACUGAUGGAGAGAGCAAAGUGAGGGAGAUAAGUCUGUAAUUUCAAAAGUGACAUCUUAAUUGGAUGGAGUAAUGCCCGUAGCAUUACAGUGGCCUUCACUGAUGUCAAAACUGAG